AGCGAACGCUGGCGGCAGGCCUAACACAUGCAAGUCGAACGAACUCUUCGGAGUUAGUGGCGGACGGGUGAGUAACACGUGGUAACGUGCCUUUUGGUUCGGAAUAACUCAGGGAAACUUGUGCUAAUACCGAAUGUGCCCUUCGGGGGAAAGAUUUAUCGCCAUUAGAGCGGCCCGCGUCUGAUUAGCUAGUUGGUGAGGUAACGGCUCACCAAGGCGACGAUCAGUAGCUGGUCUGAGAGGAUGACCCGCCACACUGGGACUGAGACACGGCCCAGACUCCUACGGGAGGCAGCAGUGGGGAAUCUUGCGCAAUGGGCGAAAGCCUGACGCAGCCCUGGCGCGUGAAUGAUGAAGGUCUUAGGGUUGUAAAAUUCUUUCACCGGGGACGAUAAUGACGGUACCCGGAGAAGAAGCCCCGGCUAACUUCGUG
rnacentral:rRNA from 1 species